rnacentral:rRNA from 1 species
AUAGCGUAUAUUAAAGUUGUUGAGGUUAAAAAGCUCGUAGUUGAACCUUGGGCCUAGCCGGCCGGUCCGCUUCACCGCGUGCACUGGCUCGGCUGGGCCUUUCCUUCUGGGGAACCGCGUGCCCUUCACUGGGUGUGCUGGGGAACCAGGACUUUUACUCUGAAAAAAUUAGAUUGUUUAAAGAAGGCCUAUGCCCGAAUACAUUAGCAUGGAAUAAUAAAAUAGGACGUGUGGUUCUAUUUUGUUGUUUUCUAGAACCGCCGUAAUGAUUAAUAGGGACAGUCGGGGGCAUCAGUAUUCAAUUGUCAGAGGUGAAAUUCUUGGAUUUAUUGAAGACUAACUACUG